CCUACGGGCGGCAGCAGUGAGGAAUAUUGGUCAAUGGACGGAAGUCUGAACCAGCCAAGCCGCGUGCAGGAUGACGGCCCUAUGAGUUGUAAACUGCUUUUGUACAAGGGUAAACCUGAACACGUGUAUUCAGCUGAAAGUACUGUACGAAUAAGGAUCGGCUAACUCCGUGCCAGCAGCCGCGGUAAUACGGAGGAUCCAAGCGUUAUCCGGAUUUAUUGGGUUUAAAGGGUGCGUAGGUGGAUUGAUAAGUUAGGGGUGAAAUGUUCGGGCUUAACUCGGGAACUGCCUUUAAUACUGGUGAUCUAGAGAGUAGAUGCGGUAGGCGGAAUGUAUGGUGUAGCGGUGAAAUGCUUAGAGAUCAUGCAGAACACCGAUUGCGAAGGCAGCUUACCAAUCUAUAUCUGACGUUGAGGCACGAAAGCGUGGGGAUCAAACAGGAUUAGAUACCCGGGUAGUC
rnacentral:rRNA from 1 species